AUGCUAGUAAUCAAGAUCUACAAAAAAUACUUCCAACACAGCGCAGAAACAAUUCAUAGGAAGAUAAACAGGAUUUUUGACUUAAUUCCAACUCUAGCCCAAAGAUUUAUAAAGAUUCCAAGUUCACUCCAGCCCCACCCGAAGAUUGUUUCGAACAACCGCUAUUGGCCUUAUUUCCAGAACUGCAUUGGUGCUAUAGAUGGAACACAUAUCCCCAUCACUAUUGCUGAAGAUAAGGCCCCCCCAUUUAGGAAUAGGAAAGGAACCCUCUCACAGAAUGUCAUGGUUGCAUGUGAUUUUGAUCUGAAUUUCACAUUUAUUUCAUGUGGGUGGGAAGGGUCUGCAUCAGAUGCAGGAGUUCUUCGUUCUGCUAUUAGCAAGGGGUUUCAUGUGCCAGAUGGAAAAUUUUAUCUCGUAGAUGGUGGAUAUGCAAACACGCCUUCUUUUCUUGCACCAUAUCGAGGAGUUCGGUAUCACCUGAGUGAAUUUAGGAGGCGGCGCUCAUCUAAUACGGGCUAUGCCGACCAUAGGGAGUUGUUCAACCAUACCCAUGCAAUCCUCCGGAACCACAUCGAAAGGAGCAUUGGUGUUCUGAAAAAACGUUUCCCUAUCUUGAAAGUGGGCAAUCACUACCCAAUAGAGUCACGAAUCAAGAUUCCGGCGGCAUGUGCUGUAUUCCAUAACAUCAUUAGAGCUCAAAGUGGUGAUGAGGCAUGGUUGGAUCACCAACCACCGUUAAUUCCACCAGAAACAUAUGUUGAUGUUCCAGAGGGAGAUGAUGUCAACCAACAUCAUCACAAUGAGGCAAACGAUGGAAACACUCUUAGAGAUCAGAUCGCGAUGCAAAUAUGGGCUGAUUAUAACAACUAG
rnacentral:rRNA from 1 species